rnacentral:tRNA from 1 species
GCUGGCGUGGCGAAACUGGUAAACGCAGAGACCUGGUAAGUCUCUGGGCGGAAGCCCUUGCGGGUUCGAAUCCCGCCGCCAGCACCG